CCUACGGGCGGCAGCAGUAGGGAAUCUUCCACAAUGGGCGAAAGCCUGAUGCAGCAACGCCGCGUGGGUGAAGAAGGUCUUCGGAUCGUAAAACCCUGUUGUUAGAGAAGAAAGUGCGUGAGAGUAACUGUUCACGUUUCGACGGUAUCUUACCAGAAAGCCACGGCUAACUACGUGCCAGCAGCCGCGGUAAUACGUAGGUGGCAAGCGUUAUCCGGAUUUAUUGGGCGUAAAGGGAACGCAAGCGGUCUGUUAAGUCUGAUGUGAAAGCCUUCGGCUUAACCGGAGUAGUGCAUUGGAAACUGGGAGACUAGAGUGCAGAAGAGGAGAGUGGAACUCCAGGUGUAGCGGUGAAAUGCGUAGAGAUAUGGAAGAACACCAGUGGCGAAAGCGGCUCUCUGGUCUGUAACUGACGCUGAGGUUCGAAAGCGUGGGUAGCAAACAGGAUUAGAUACCCUUGUAGUC
rnacentral:rRNA from 1 species